rnacentral:rRNA from 1 species
GAUGAACGCUGGCGGCGUGCCUAAUACAUGCAAGUCGAGCGAACGGACGAGAAGCUUGCUUCUCUGAUGUUAGCGGCGGACGGGUGAGUAACACGUGGAUAACCUACCUAUAAGACUGGGAUAACUUCGGGAAACCGGAGCUAAUACCGGAUAAUAUUUUGAACCGCAUGGUUCAAAAGUGAAAGACGGUCUUGCUGUCACUUAUAGAUGGAUCCGCGCUGCAUUAGCUAGUUGGUAAGGUAACGGCUUACCAAGGCAACGAUGCAUAGCCGACCUGAGAGGGUGAUCGGCCACACUGGAACUGGGACACGGUCCAGACUCCUACGGGAGGCAGCAGUAGGGAAUCUUCCGCAAUGGGCGAAAGCCUGACGGAGCAACGCCGCGUGAGUGAUGAAGGUCUUCGGAUCGUAAAACUCUGUUAUUAGGGAAGAACAUAUGUGUAAGUAACUGUGCACAUCUUGACGGUACCUAAUCAGAAAGCCACGGCUAACUACGUGCCAGCAGCCGCGGUAAUACGUAGGUGGCAAGCGUUAUCCGGAAUUAUUGGGCGUAAAGCGCGCGUAGGCGGUUUUUUAAGUCUGAUGUGAAAGCCCACGGCUCAACCGUGGAGGGUCAUUGGAAACUGGAAAACUUGAGUGCAGAAGAGGAAAGUGGAAUUCCAUGUGUAGCGGUGAAAUGCGCAGAGAUAUGGAGGAACACCAGUGGCGAAGGCGACUUUCUGGUCUGUAACUGACGCUGAUGUGCGAAAGCGUGGGGAUCAAACAGGAUUAGAUACCCUGGUAGUCCACGCCGUAAUCGAUGAGUGCUAAGUGUUAGGGGGUUUCCGCCCCUUAGUGCUGCAGCUAACGCAUUAAGCACUCCGCCUGGGGAGUACGACCGCAAGGUUGAAACUCAAAGGAAUUGACGGGGACCCGCACAAGCGGUGGAGCAUGUGGUUUAAUUCGAAGCAACGCGAAGAACCUUACCAAAUCUUGACAUCCUUUGACAACUCUAGAGAUAGAGCCUUCCCCUUCGGGGGACAAAGUGACAGGUGGUGCAUGGUUGUCGUCAGCUCGUGUCGUGAGAUGUUGGGUUAAGUCCCGCAACGAGCGCAACCCUUAAGCUUAGUUGCCAUCAUUAAGUUGGGCACUCUAAGUUGACUGCCGGUGACAAACCGGAGGAAGGUGGGGAUGACGUCAAAUCAUCAUGCCCCUUAUGAUUUGGGCUACACACGUGCUACAAUGGACAAUACAAAGGGCAGCGAAACCGCGAGGUCAAGCAAAUCCCAUAAAGUUGUUCUCAGUUCGGAUUGUAGUCUGCAACUCGACUACAUGAAGCCGGAAUCGCUAGUAAUCGUAGAUCAGCAUGCUACGGUGAAUACGUUCCCGGGUCU